UACGUAGGUGGCGAGCGUUGUCCGGAAUUACUGGGCGUAAAGGAUGCGUAGGUGGAAAGUUAAGUGGGAUGUGAAAGACUCGGGCUCAACUCGAGAAGUGCAUUCCAAACUGGUUUUCUAGAGUGCAGGAGAGGAAAGUGGAAUUCCUAGUGUAGCGGUGAAAUGCGUAGAUAUUAGGAAGAACACCAGUGGCGAAGGCGACUUUCUGGACUGUAACUGACACUGAGGCAUGAAAGCGUGGGGAGCAAACAGG
rnacentral:rRNA from 1 species